GGCCUCACAAGGGCAGAGUAGAGAAGGACAAUCACUGCCCUCUCCCUGCUGGCCACCCCUCUUCUGAUGGAGCCCCGGACACCAUUGGCCUUCCAGGCUGCAAGCACACUGCUGGCUCGUGUUAAGUUUUUCACCAACCAAGAACCCUAAGACCUUCUCAGGAGGGCUACUCUCAAGUUCUUCUAGUCUGUAUACAUAUUUGGGAUUUCCCUAACCCAAGUGCAACACCUUGUACUUUGCUUUCUUGAACCUCAUUAAGGCUCACAUGGGCUCACUUUUAAGCCUGUCUAGGUCCCUCUGGAAGGCACCUCUUCCAUCUGUCAUUAUCAGCCACAACGCUCAGCUUGGUGUCGUUAGUAAACUUGCUGAGGUGCACUCAAUCCCAUCAUUUAUGUCAUUGAUAAAGAUAUCAAAGAGUACCAUUCCCAAGACGGACCCCUGGGGCACAUUUCCAGCCUCCACCUGGACACAGAGCUAUUGACAACAAUCCCUGGCUGCGAUCUUCCAACCGAAGUCCUUAUCCACUGAAGUGUCCACCCUUCAAACCCAUAUCUCUCCAAUUUAGAGAACGUCAUCAACCUCUAGGAACAGAAAUAACCUUAUUGUACCACACCAAAUCGUAUUUCAGGUGGCAAAUAAACCUGUGAAACUCUUUGCUCCUACUAAUGGGGUAAUACAUAUCAGUAGGAAGGGGUAUGCAAGUAGCAACUACAGUAGGAGGAGUGAAGUUUAAAAUGUAUUUUCAGUUCCUCUGGUAUGUGUGUUAAAGCUGUUAAGCCUCAGAGAAUCAUCUGGAGUUGCACAUCUGGACAAUCUAUGCUAGCUGUAAGGAAAUUGUCAUUGUAGGCAUAAUUAUGUUUUUAAACAUGUUAAAGGGCUAGGCACUUAAAAACAUCAGUGUGCAAGUUUGAUUAAUUCAUGCUUUUUAUGUCGCUUUGAGGGUCACGGGCACACAACCUGCUUUGGGAGUCCAGCUUCAGUUAGCUGGUUUCAACAGCAGAAACAGAAGAAAUCAAAAUAUUUUGUCUUUUCUAACCCCAUUUAGUAGCCUGGUACUUCUUUUUCUGGAUCUCUUCAUACUGGUGAAGGGGUCGUACUCAAGUCCUCCAGUUUCUCAACUUUCACACAAAAGGUACUUCCCACCAUGGGGUUAAAACUUCAGAACUCAGUACUGUGCUUUUACUAAGUAUUGUAUGUGAAAGAAGAUUUUUCAGAGGACAAAAAGACAUGUUUUCACAGGGAUAUCUUCUUCCCUACAGAGACCAUCUAGAUGAAUAUUAUACCUUUGCACCAAAUCUGAAAAUGCUUGUUCUUAUUUAAACAGUUGGAAGAAUUUAUUUAAAAGCAGUCAGUUUAAACCAAUUUUGUUCUUGGAAAUGGCUAGGAUAUUUUGAAUGAAGUCUUCCUAAACAAUUCACCCUGAUUAUGAUGCUCAAAACGGAUUCUUCUGACCCAGAAAGUAACAGCUUGGCAGUGGUGUAAUUGGCGACAUUAUUUCCUAUAAUGGAAAGUGAACGGCAGCCUGAACUACAGAUACGUAUUGAGGUCACUCUGAAAGUAAUGCCUCCUGUUUAUUUCCAUGGAAACUACAACAGAUGCAAAGAGCACAGUAACACUAUUUGAUAGAGCAAACUCUUAGCUACAAAACACUAUUUUUCAACAUAGUCACCAUCAAUUAGCUGUGCAUUUUUGCUAGCGAUGAACAAGAGCCUGCAUGCCACCCUUACAAAAAUCUGCACCAGCAGAGGUGACCCACUGUUUCACAGCUGCUGUGAUGGCAUCAUCGCUAGGAAAAUGUUGCCCAAGCAGUCCAUCUUUCAUUGGCUUGAACAGAGAAAGUUAGAAGUUGCUGAAUCUGGAUUAUACAGUGGAUGUGGUCGGACAGUCUAACCAAGACUGGCAAUAUGUGGCCUUCAGACUGAUAUAGGGCCUGGCAUUAUUGUAUUACAAGAGAAAGAUUUCUUUCUUCUCUGGCCUGAUUCUGGAAGUUCAAGUCUUCAGCUCAGUCAGCUUUGUGAUGUAAUGGUCAGAGUUGAUGGUUUGUCUGGGUUCUGGGAAAUCCAGCAGGAUCGCCGCUUCCCUAUCCCAAAAGACAGUGCACGUCACUUUACCUGCUGAGGACUGCUUCUCACACUUUUUCUUCAGUGCGGAAUUCACACGUCACUACUUCCUGGGCUGCUGUUGUUAACUCUGGCUCAUAGUGGUAACAUCACAUCUCAUCACCAGUAAUGAUGUAAUCCAGGAGACCGUCCCCUUUCAGUCUCGUAUUGGUUCAGUAGGUCCUGACAAACUUGCAUAUGGUGUUCUUUCUGUUCCUGUAUGAGCAUUUGUGGGACAUACCUGGUGCAAACUUUGUGAUAUUUCAACAUUGCCACCAUCGUUUCCAACACACUGAAGCUGAUAUUCAGCUCUGUACACAGUUCACGAGUCAUAAUCUUGCCCCCACUGCCACCAGUUACACAGCAACAAAAUGUAAUGGUACACUGGCAAGAAGUUUCAACCUCUACUACCAUACCACCAAUGCUGGCCUCUGAUGUCAUAGACCAACAUAAUAAAUAGGAAGCAUUACUUAUGGAGCAGUCUCCAUCCUGUGUAAAUGUAAAUAUGUAAUUGUGAGCUAUAUGGAAACAGUUUUGUGAUCAUUACCUACAACCUGCAGUUAGCAACCAGAACUGCACAGCAACUGCUAUAAUGAUGUUAGAUAAUCAUAUUCACUGUGAUCCGAGCAGAUGUUAGGUUUGUGCGAGUCCUGCAUGCUGUCUGACAUAUUGUUCCCUCUUCUUGAUUUGAAUCCAUUGCCCUGAUAACCCUCCAGCUUCUGCUUUUUCCCCCACAGGCUAUACAAAUCUGCCUGGUUUCUCUCCAUGAAUGCUGGUUCUGGGAAAACACACAGCAGAGCAAAACCAGAGUUAUGUGAGCACUCCUGCUGUUACAGACAUCCAGUGUUGCCCCAGAUUUUUAUGCUAGUUAGAGAGAAUGUCUCACCUUGGGCUUUGUAACCCUCAGUGCUUCUCAGUAUGCUGUUCUAGGGCAGUAAUGUUCCAUGGUUGCUUACCCUGCAGAAUUAGCUGCAUUCUUUACAGGAAACAUGAUUUCAGUUUGAAAAAACAUUAGCAAAUGCCAAACAAAACAAAAUCCCUGUGGAAGUUCCUGUGAAUGCACUAAUCCAGGUUGUGCUUUAUUCCCUUGUCAUUUCUCUUUUUACCCUGCAUAUUUAUUAAGCACAUACAGCUUAACAUAAAGCAAAAAUGGACGAUGGUUCUGAUAUGUUUUGUGUGUAGUUUCAGUCUCAAGGAUAAGGGGAAUGUCUCCAACCCCCAUCUGCAACCUGCAGGCUUUUCUAAAAGUAAGUGGAAGAUUGCAGAUUGACAAGAUUGUGCCUCCCUUCCAGGCUAAACCAUCUGGACAGUAAUCAACUGGAUGCUGGGUGAUGCAAUAUGGAGGGACUAACCAGUAGGCAGGAGAGAUGGAAUGAGUGCUGACUACUAAACCAGCCAUCUCAGUGAUGAGGCAAUAGAGAUUGUGUGCACGAGAACGGGACUGAGUUCAUCCAUGCCUGGGACACCAUCAGUCUGUGAAUUUAAGAAGUUGCUGUUUACAAGGAGCAAUCCAAGGACUUACGCUGCUGAAGGUGACGGACCAGGAGAAUGAUGAUAACUUAAUAAGCCACAGUAACACAGCUGUACGCAUCAUAUGCUCCAAACUGGCUGUCCUUGCUCCACACCUGCAUGAUU